ACGUUAGCGGCGGACGGGUGAGUAACACGUGGGUAACCUACCUAUAAGACUGGGAUAACUUCGGGAAACCGGAGCUAAUACCGGAUAACAUUUGGAACCGCAUGGUUCUAAAGUGAAAGAUGGUUUUGCUAUCACUUAUAGAUGGACCCGCGCCGUAUUAGCUAGUUGGUAAGGUAACGGCUUACCAAGGCAACGAUGCGUAGCCGACCUGAGAGGGUGAUCGGCCACACUGGAACUGAGACACGGUCCAG
rnacentral:rRNA from 1 species